UAAUUUUGUAGGGCACGAGUCGACCUGCUCACUACCAUGUACUCUGGGACGAGAACAAUUUCACUGCCGACGGAAUUCAGUCACUGACAAACAAUCUAUGUUAUACAUAUGCCAGGUGUACACGCUCCGUUUCAGUUGUUCCCCCAGCUUACUAUGCACAUUUGGCUGCAUUCCGGGCGAGAUUCUAUUUGGAACCGGACUUGCCGGAAAGUGGCAGCGGCGGCGGUGGUGGCAAGGUGGGAAGAGUGGCGGGAGAAACGGGUGUGCGUCCUUUACCGGCUCUCAAAGAAAAUGUAAAAAGAGUAAUGUUUUAUUGUUGAAACAAAAUGGCAAAUUAGGGUUUUCUUAGCAUGUGUGGAAGGGCCUUUGUUUGUAUAUGUUUGAUUAUAAAUGCAGCUUCCUAUGGUAAUUUUGAACUUUAAUUUAGAUAAAUUAAAUGAUGUAAAAAGUUUGCCUAGCUUUCAUUAGUUUAAUUUUGGAUCUAUAAUUGACUAGGAA